rnacentral:misc_RNA from 1 species
AAGGUGCCGAAGCUGUUUAAUAUUUAGAAUUUCUACAGGUAGUUCGAAUAGCUUUGAACAAUUAUGCACUUCCAGUGUUUGUAGUUUUUGAAGAUUAGCUAUGGUAGGUGGAAGUUUCUUUAUGUUUGACUUGCUCAAGCAUAAAUACUUGAGGUGAAUCAAGUCUCCCACUUCAUCAGCCAAGUACUCUACUACGCCAUACAAAUCUAAUACCAACAGAAACUGCAACCCA